rnacentral:lncRNA from 1 species
CAGGCAGUGGUAUAAAUAUAUACCACCAAAAAAAAUUGCUUCUAACAGUGCUAUGGAUCACAUUUGUACCACCAUAGUCGCUAAUGCCAUUUAGUGUAUUGUUUAGGGGAACUCCUGGAAUUUUUCUAGAAUUUUCUUUUCACACUGGUCUUAGUACUAGCUGUUGGACUUUCUGUUACACUUGUGCUCAGAGCAAAAAAAAUAUAAAAAGUUUCAGAAAACCAAUGUUCAAUUGGGUGUUCCAUAUUGAAUUAGGUACGAAGAUGUUGGAAAAUAUUUACCAGUUGAAUUAGGAAACAGGAAAAGAUGCCGCUUUUGUUCAACAAAAAAGGAC